GGGCGGGUGGUGAAAUGGUAGACACGCCAGUUUUAGGAACUGGUGCCGCAAGGCAUGGAGGUUCAAGUCCUCUCCCGCCCA
rnacentral:tRNA from 1 species